GUGUAAGUCAAGGAGCACCUGUACUACAAUUGGAACAAUACAAAGAAGAUUAACACGACCUCUGGACAAGGAUUACACAUAAAUUUGUAAAGCAUUCUAUAUGUUU
rnacentral:snRNA from 1 species